GCCGGGCGUGAUGGCUCACCCCUGUAAUCCCAGCAUUUUGGGAGGUUGAGGUGGGCGGAUCACCUGAGGCCAGGAGUUUAAGACCAGCCUGGCCAACAUGGUGAAACCCCACCUCUA
rnacentral:SRP_RNA from 2 species